rnacentral:rRNA from 1 species
ACGUAGGUGGCAAGCGUUGUCCGGAAUUACUGGGUGUAAAGGGAGCGUAGGCGGGGAGACAAGUUGAAUGUUUAAACUAUCGGCUUAACUGAUAGUCGCGUUCAAAACUAUCACUCUUGAGUGCAGUAGAGGUAGGCGGAAUUCCUAGUGUAGCGGUGAAAUGCGUAGAUAUUAGGAGGAACACCAGUGGCGAAGGCGGCCUACUGGGCUGUAACUGACGCUGAGGCUCGAAAGCGUGGGUAGCAAACAG